rnacentral:rRNA from 1 species
AACGAACGCUUGCGGCGCGCCUAAUACAUGCAAGUCGAACGACGUAGCAAUACGGAGUGGCGCACGGGUGAGUAACGCGUGGAUAAUCUGCCUUUCAGUGGGGAAUAACUAUCCGAAAGGAUAGCUAACACCGCAUGAGACCACAGGGCCUGAGGGCCUAGGGGUUAAAAUUUAUUGCUGAAAGAUGAGUCUGCGUGGGAUUAGCUAGUUGGUGGGGUAAUGGCCUACCAAGGCAACGAUCCCUAGCUGGUCUGAGAGGAUGGCCAGCCACACUGGGACUGAGACACGGCCCAGACUCCUACGGGAGGCAGCAGUGGGGAAUAUUGGACAAUGGGCGAAAGCCUGAUCCAGCCAUGCCGCGUGAAUGAAGAAGGCCUUAGGGUUGUAAAAUUCUUUCAGAUGCGAAGAUAAUGACGGUACCAUCAGAAGAAGCUCCGGCUAAAUUCGUG